rnacentral:rRNA from 1 species
AACGAACGCUGGCGGCAGGCCUAACACAUGCAAGUCGAGCGACGCCUUCGGGCUUCGCGGCGGACGGGUGAGUAACGCGUGGGAACGUGGCCUUUGAAACGGAACAGCCUCGGGGAACUGGGUGUAGUAGCGUAUGUGACCCUCGGGGGGAAGAUGGAUAUGCAAAGGAGCCGGCCGCGUUGGAUUAGGUAGUGGGUGGGGUAAUGGCCUACCAAGGCGACGAUCCAUAGCUGGGUUGAGAGGAUGAGCAGCCACACUGGGACUGAGAAGCGGCCCAGACUCCUAGGGGAGGCAGGAGAGGGGAAUCUUGGAAAAUGGGGGGAAGCCUGAUCUAGCCAGGCCUCGUGAUCGAUGAAGGCCUUAGGGUUGUAAAGAUCUUUCAGGUGGGAAGAUAAUGACUGUACCACCAGAAGAAGCCCCGGCUAACACCGUGCCAGCAGCCGCCGUAAUAC